rnacentral:rRNA from 1 species
UACGUAGGGGGCAAGCGUUGUCCGGAAUCAUUGGGCGUAAAGAGCGCGUAGGCGGUCCGGUAAGUCGGUUGUGAAAACUGGGGGGCUCAACCCUCAGAGGCCGACCGAUACUGCCGGGCUAGAGUCCGGAAGAGGCGAGUGGAAUUCCUGGUGUAGCGGUGAAAUGCGCAGAUAUCAGGAAGAACACCCGUGGCGAAGGCGGCUCUCUGGUACGUGACUGACGCUGAGACGCGAAAGCGUGGGGAGCAAACAGG